GCUUCUGGUAGGGGUAAGUACGUCUAUUGGAGAAGCAGAUUUAGCCCAUCUUUAUGCUGUAUUGUUUUUAUUUCUGUUCUGGACCUGGUUUCCCAAAAACAUCUUAAGGCUAAGUUAAUCGUUAGAACAUCCUAUGGUUCUAACAAUGAAUUUAGCCUAAUUAAGAUGCGUAAUCUUAGACCAAUAGGGAAAUUAUAUCCUUGCUUUCAGGGACAAAGGAAAAACACAACUAUAUGUCAUCUUAAAUCAUUUAUGAAAAUUUGAUUUCUUGAAGAGAUGGAACAGUCUACUCUAUCUUCUAGCUGUCACGUUCUGACCUUUAUUUCCUUUGUUUUGUCUUUAUUUAGUUUAGUAUGGUCAGGGCGUGAGUUGGGGUGGGCAGUCUAUGUAUGUUUUUCUAUGUUGGGGUUUUGAGGUCAGCCUCGUAUGGUUCUCAAUCAGAGGCAGGUGUCGUUAGUUGUCUCUGAUUGAGAAUCAUACUUAGGUAGCCUGGGUUUCACUUUUGAGUUGUGGGUGUUUGUUUCCGUGUGAGUAUUUGUUGCCACACAGUACGGGGGCCUGUUGCACAAAAGUAGAAUUAAGACAUCCGGGAUAAAUGACUCAGCUGAGCUCAAUGAAGCCAAAACAUGUGCGUCCAGGCUUAAUUGGUUGCACAAAGACCAAGCCAGGAUGAGCAGACACGGAUUCAUUAAGCCAGGUGAAACCAAUCCUGGAUAGGUGCGCGCUCACGGCUCACUCAAAUGGACCCCGCCACAGAUCACAGAUUAACUGAUUUACCAUGGCAACUAGAGCCGCGUACUUUUCCCCGUCGGAAGCACAAAUCCUCAUGGAGGCAUACGAGGAGGUAAAAGAUAUAAUUAAGAAGAAAGGCAACACCGCCACAGUGAUAAAGCAAAGAGAAAAAGCGUGGCAAAGUAUUGCAGACCGCCUGAAUGCGUAAGUAGUGCACAAUUACACACUCACCGCUCCGCUGAAACAUCACAAUUACAAUUCAAAUAUUUAAUUCACAUCUCCAAAAAUGCAGUUGUACUGUAAUUAUGAAACGGUUAAAUUUUUAAUUGAAAUGCACUGCAGAUAUGAGUGAAAUUGUGUAAAGUAACUCCAUCACACUGUAUAAAGCUAUGCUAAAUUUUUUGAUAUUUUCACUGAAAACAAGACAAAAAUACCAAGUAAUUUUUUGCAGUGUGACUCCAUUAAAUGUGUGUGUGUGUGUGUGUGUGUGUGUGUGUGUGUGUGUGUGUGUGUGUGUGUGUGUGUGUGUGUAGAUUAAACAUGAACGGGCCAAAACGGACAUGGCAGCAGGUCAAAAUCAAAUACAAGAACAUUCUGCAGAAUGCAGUGAAAAAGAAUACCCACAGACAAGGCACGGGUGGUGGGUCACCAAAGGCUGACCUUACCCCAGCAGAGGACAUGGCCUUGGAGCUAAAUAAAGGCAGGCCCGUCUUAGAGGGGAUCCCUGGGGGAAAGAGACGAGCAUAGGUUCCUCCCAAGAUGCCACCCGCUUCAUUCAAGUGUCUGGCAGCACUGUGUUCCUGUUAGAGCCACCAGCACAAGCACCAGACGAUGCUGAUCCAGGUGAAGGCCCCAGUGCAGCAGCAACAGCACAUGAUGGAGACGAUGAUGAGGAGGAGACCAUCUCUCUGGAUUCCAGAAGGCAUGAGGACCCAGAUGCUAUACAGUGGGAAAACCAGCCUGGCAACAUAGUGCGUAUUAAUAAAAGGACACCACAUCCUGCC